UACGAAGGGGGCUAGCGUUGCUCGGAAUCACUGGGCUUAAAGCGUGUGUAGGCGGACUUCUAAGUACCUUGUGAAAUCCCACGGCUCAACCGUGGAACUGCUUGGUAUACUGGUUGUCUUGGGCCAUCUAGGGGCUAGCGGAACAAACGGUGGAGCGGUGAAAUGCGCAGAUAUCAGGAGGAACACCAAUGGCGAAGGCAGCUCGCUGGGACGUGACUGACGCUGAGACGCGAAAGCGUGGGGAGCAAACAGG
rnacentral:rRNA from 1 species